UACGUAGGGCGCAAGCGUUGUCCGGAAUUAUUGGGCGUAAAGAGCUCGUAGGCGGCUUGUCACGUCGGGUGUGAAAGCCCGGGGCUUAACCCCGGGUCUGCAUUCGAUACGGGCAGGCUAGAGUGUGGUAGGGGAGAUCGGAAUUCCUGGUAUAGCGGUGAAAUGCGCAGAUAUCAGGAGGAACACCGGUGGCGAAGGCGGAUCUCUGGGCCAUUACUGACGCUGAGGAGCGAAAGCGUGGGGAGCGAACAGG
rnacentral:rRNA from 1 species